AUUGAACGCUGGCGGCGUGCUUAACACAUGCAAGUCGAACGGCAAGUGCUCUUCGGGGUACUCGAGUGGCGAACGGGUGAGUAACAAGUGGGUGAUCUGCCCUGCCUUUUGGGAUAGAACUGGGAAACUGGGUGUAAUCUCGAAUAUGAUCAUCAGUGUCUUCGUCGGUGGAGGAAAGCUUUUGCGGUGUGGGAUGGGCCCGAGGCCGAUCAACUUGUCGGUGAGGUAAUGGGUUACCAAGGCGACGACGGGUAGUCGGCCUGAGAGGGUGACCGGCCACACUGGGACUGAGAUACGGCCCAGACUACUACGGAAGGCAGCAGUGGGGAAUAUUGCACAAUGGGCCCAAGCCUGAUGCGGCGACGCCGCGUGAGGGAUGGCAGCCUUCGGGUUGUAAACCUCAUUCAGCGCAGACGAAGCGCAAGUGACGGUAUGUGCAGAAGAAGGACCGGCCAACUACGUGCCAGCCGCCGCAGUAAGAC
rnacentral:rRNA from 1 species